rnacentral:rRNA from 1 species
UAACACCCUGGGAAACAGAUGCUAAUACCCGGGAUAACCAACAGAUGAUGCCUAUCAACUGUUUUAAAAGUAUGGUUCUGCUAUCACUCUUGGGAUGGGACCCUGCGGUGCAUUAGCUAGUUGGUAGGGUAACGGCCUACCAAGGCGAUGAUGCAUAGCCGAGUUGAGAGACUGAUCGGCCACAUUGGGACUGAGACACGGCCCAAACUCCUACGGGAGGCAGCAGUAGGGAAUCUUCCACAAUGGACGCAAGUCUGAUGGAGCAACGCCGCGUGAGUGAAGAAGGGUUUCGGCUCGUAAAGCUCUGUUGUUGGUGAAGAAGGACAGGGGUAGUAACUGACCUUUGUUUGACGGUAAUCAAUUAGAAAGUCACGGCUAACUACGUGCCAGCAGCCGCGGUAAU